rnacentral:rRNA from 1 species
ACAGCAGUAGCCGCGGUAAUACGUAGGGCGCAAGCGUUAUCCGGAAUUAUUGGGCGUAAAGAGCUCGUAGGCGGUUUGUCGCGUCUGCCGUGAAAGUCCGGGGCUCAACCCCGGAUCUGCGGUGGGUACGGGCAGACUAGAGUGAUGUAGGGGAGACUGGAAUUCUUGGUGUAGCGGUGAAAUGCGCAGAUAUCAGGAGGAACACCGAUGGCGAAGGCAGGUCUCUGGGCAUUAACUGACGCUGAGGAGCGAAAGCAUGGGGAGCGAACAGGAUUAGAUACCCGGGUAGUCCCUGUCUCUUAUAC